UCCUGCUUGAUAUGCGCCUUUUCUACAAACACAAAAUGUAUAACGUCAGUACGUGGAGACAUCGCGGCCUGUCUGGUGGACUGCCCGACACAUGAGGUGACGUAAUAAGAAAAACUGGCAGCAGCAUUGAGUGUACGAAACAAAGUCGUAUGAUACUCACGGGCAGCCUACAUGAAGUAAUCUGGCGUCCGCCGCGUGACGUGCGGCUCGCCGCGGCGCGGGGCGGGGUCGAACUGCAGGCUGUGGACAAACAUCAUACACUACUAUAAUAUCUCCAACGGUGAUAUAAACUCUAUUGUUAUGCAGAUAAAGGUCAUAAACUUUAAGUAUCCACUGUACUGAGGCACCUAUAGUGCACGUCUAAAAAUCGAUCGUUACUCGAUUUUUAUUUGUCAUCACUUUGCGCUGAUAAUCAUUCCAAUUAAACAGUAAAUGUGUGUAGUUUGAAAAAUGAAAAAAAUGUAUAGGCUAUAAUCGUAAAACUAAACUCAAAAAUAAAAUAUUGUAAUAUUUUUACUCUGGUGGUCUCCAAAUUUUAGGAAAAAUUGUCAACUUAUUAUAUUGUAUUGACAUAAGUUCUUGUUAUGUGUGCAAAUUUUAAAGUAAAUCUUAUGUGUAAUAAACGUUAUAUAAAUAAACAUAGCACAGAUAUAGAUAGAUUCAGGUCAAGCUGAUAAAAGUGCGUUCAAAACCCAGGAAAGAUUACAUGGAAGUCAUAUUGUGUAAUUUUUAUUUUAUAAAAUUUUUGUUUUUUGAA